GUAACUGACGUUAAUUAAAGGCCACAUGGCAUCGUUCUAACGCAGAAAGAAAUUGUAUACUCUUUUACUCUCGCAUAUAUACAUUUUCGUCAUCAGUUACUUAAAACAAUGCUUUUAUCUAAAAACUGAUUGCCCACUGUGUUCCAGCGCUAUCUAGUGUUGCAAACUGGAAUUAUGUGAUGCGUUCCUCGUGAACGCGCUAUUGAUUUUUUGGUGUCCUGUGCUGCCACCGGUGUGGAUCCCAAAAAGGCAGAAAGCGUUAUUUCUUAUUGUUGCCUAUAUAGUGAAGACUAUAAAGACGCAGUUCUAAUAACGAUACCAAAAAUUUCGAGGUCCCGUAACAUGAGUGGGUGUAAAAGUAAUUACAAGUCACAAGAAGGAAACAGUUCAUUUUUCUAUACUCAGCGGUGAAACACUAAAGGUAAAGGGUAAAGGGUAAAGGGCUGAGAAAAAUUCCUACGCAAUUCUUAGAUUUAAAGGAGCUUACAUGCAUAAAGCAUUUUAAUGAUGAGUGCAUAGUAAAAACAGAACUGAUUACACUUUAUGGAGAAAUGUAGAUACCUGCAAGAAGUUAUCCAAAGUCGAAACCAGAUGCAGGGCCAUCAAUUUUCCCUGAUUUGCGACGAUACUUGACAACAGCUGGACCGCCAUGCAGAAGAUUAUGUGAUGCAGAAAGUGAUAACUUUGAAACAUAUAUAUAGUGAUGUCAUACCCAACACUGUUGGAUUAGCAGCUAUUAAGACCAAUCUGUCAUCUUUGCCAAUACUAUAAAAUUCCUCGGCAUAAAGCGCCCAACAAAUAUAUGUCAAUUAAAUCCGAACAUGUGUUUGAUAAUCUAAUUAAACUGACUCAACAGUUCUUAAAGAAGACAAAACAAGUUUUGUGGUUCUGGACAUAGUGGCUAUGUUAGAGGAGGGUUUUUUGGAUGACAGAUGUUCACAGCUGCAAUUAAUAAUUGAACAAAUUCAGUUUCUUAUUAAAAAAAAAAAAGUCACAGGUACACUGAAUAUUUUAAUGUAAUUUUCAAUAAAUAAACAUGUAAAUGCCA